rnacentral:lncRNA from 1 species
ACUGAUUAAUCUUAUUUCGAAAGGACUUAGACACCAGAAGUUAAAAAGUCGGCAUGGACUGUGGAUCAGAUCUUUGCAGCACAAAUGUAAGGUACCUCUUUUGAGCUUACAAUGGGGAAAGAGAGAGGAAAAUAAAAACCCACGUUUCAAAGGUGGGGAGGGCUUAUUUUUGGUGCCUCUUUAGCAAUGCUGAGCGACCAAAUUCAGCCCCACCCAGAGCAUAUGGGCCCCCCAGAGGGCAGAUGGUAGCAGUCGGCUGGGAUUUGAAUCCUCCUGCUGUGUGACACCAGUCUCCAAAGGCAACAUCUGGGUCCGGUCACCGAAGACAGAUGGGCUCCCUCUACUUCGUCCCCCAUCCCCGCGGGACCUCUGCCGGAGGCGCGGCAUGCUAUUUGAAUGCAAUGAUAUGCUGACUAAAUCGUUCCUGCACGGUGCGCGCAGAGUGCAUUCCUACUGUUAGAACCUAUUCUGUAUCUG